rnacentral:rRNA from 1 species
CGGAGGCCUAUACUGCAAGUCGAACGGGGUCCUUCGGGGCCCAGUGGCGCACGGGUGCGUAACGCGUAUGCAACCUACCUUCAACUGGGGGAUAGCCCGGAGAAAUCCGGAUUAAUACCGCAUAACACCAUAUGAUGGCAUCUGAGUAUGGUUAAAGAUUUAUCGGUUGGAGAUGGGCAUGCGUGCCAUUAGCUAGUUGGUGGUGUAACGGACCACCAAGGCGACGAUGGCUAGGGGGUCUGAGAGGAUGGUCCCCCACACUGGCACUGAGAUACGGGCCAGACUCCUACGGGAGGCAGCAGUAGGGAAUAUUGGGCAAUGGGCGGAAGCCUGACCCAGCCAUGCCGCGUGCAGGAUGAAGGCCUUCUGGGUUGUAAACUGCUUUUACCAGGGAAGAAAACACCCAUGCGUGGGGAACUGACGGUACCUGAGGAAUAAGCACCGGCUAACUCCGUGCCAGCAGCCGCGGUAAUACGGAGGGUGCAAGCGUUGUCCGGAUUUAUUGGGUUUAAAGGGUGCGUAGGCGGCCCCUUAAGUCAGUGGUGAAAGCCCGGGGCUCAACCCCGGAACCGCCAUUGAUACUGGGGGGCUUGAGUAUGGACGAGGUUGGCGGAAUUGAGGGUGUAGCGGUGAA